CGUCUCUCUGCCCCUCCAUUUUAUCCUCUCCUCUCAUUCCAAUCUCAAAAUACUGAGAGAGAGGGCGACACUGCCUGGAAAGAGAGGCGGCUAAGAAGAAGCAAGAACAACCCCAUGGGAGACACAGCAGAGAAUAAGAUCAUGGAAGAGACUCUUUUAAUCAAAGAAAUUAGAGAUCGCGAUGAUUCCUUAUCAAAUCUAACAUGGCAGGUGUUCAGUCAAGAAGUGAAAAAACUGGGUUACAUAGCAGGACCCAUGGUGGCUGUGACUCUUUCUCAGUACCUUUUGCAAUUUGUUUCCAUCAUGAUGGUUGGUCAUCUUGAUGAGCUUGCUCUCUCUAGCACCGCCAUAGCCAUUUCUCUCGCUAGCGUCACUGGUUUUAGUCUUCUUCUGGGGAUGGCAAGUGCAUUGGAAACUUUAUCUGGACAAGCUUAUGGAGCUAAGCAAUAUCAAAAACUGGGAAUUCAAACUCAGACUGCUAUAUUCUGUUUAAUCCUAGUUUGUAUCCCUCUUUCUGUGAUAUGGAUAAACGUGGGAAACAUACUUAUUUUCAUUGGCCAAGAUCCCAAAAUUUCACAUGAAGCUGGUAAAUUUAUAACGUCGCUAAUUCCUGCACUCUUUGCCUAUGCAACUCUUCAGCCUCUUGUUCGAUACUUUCAGGCACAAAGUUUGAUUUUCCCUAUGGUCCUAAGCUCUUGUGGGACUCUUUGUCUCCAUAUCCCUCUGUGUUGGGCUUUAGUGUUCAAGUCAGGACUAGAAAACCUUGGAGCAGCAUUAGCAAUGUGUAUUUCAAAUUGGACGAAUGUAAUUUUUCUUGGACUAUACAUGAAGUACUCCUCUGCCUGUGCCAAAACACGUGCCCCAAUUUCUAUGCAGUUACUCCAUGGAAUCGGAGAAUUCUUUCGCUUUGCUAUACCUUCUGCAGUAAUGAUCUGCCUUGAAUGGUGGUCAUUUGAGCUGCUUGUGUUGCUCUCAGGACUCUUACCAAAUCCAGAGCUUGAAACGUCAGUCCUAUCUGUUUGUCUCACAAUUAUUUCUACACUCUAUGGAAUUCCAUAUGGAUUUGGUGCUGCAGCAAGUACUAGAGUCUCAAAUGAAUUAGGA
rnacentral:misc_RNA from 1 species